rnacentral:tRNA from 2 species
GAGUGGUAGUUCAGUUGGUUAGAAUACCGGCCUGUCACGCCGGUGGUCGCGGGUUCGAGUCCCGUCCACUCC